UGGGGAAUAUUGGACAAUGGGCGCAAGCCUGAUCCAGCAAUGCCGCGUGAGUGAUGAAGGCCUUAGGGUUGUAAAGCUCUUUCGGCGGGGACGAUGAUGACGGUACCCGCAGAAGAAGCCCCGGCUAGCUUCGUGCCAGCAGCCGCGGUAAUACGAAGGGGGCGAGCGUUGUUCGGAUUUACUGGGCGUAAAGGGCGCGUAGGCGGCGGCCCAAGUCGAGUGUGAAAGCCCCGGGCUCGACCUGGGAGGUGCGCUCGAGACUGGUUUGCUGGAGUUCGGGAGAGGAGCGUGGAAUUCCCAGUGUAGAGGUGAAAUUCGUAGAUAUUGGGAAGAACACCGGUGGCGAAGGCGGCGCUCUGGACCGAGACUGACGCUGAGGCGCGAAAGCGUGGGGAGCAAACAGGAUUAGAUACCCUGGUAGUCCACGCUGUAAACGAUGUGUGCUAGACGUUGGGGAGCUCAGCUCCUCGGUGUCGCAGCCAACGCUUUAAGCACACCGCCUGGGGAGUACGGCCGCAAGGUUA
rnacentral:rRNA from 1 species